GCAGUGGGGAAUCUUGGACAAUGGGCGCAAGCCUGAUCCAGCCAUGCCGCGUGGAUGAUGAAGGCCCUAGGGUUGUAAAAUCCUUUCGUUGGGGACGAUAAUGACGGUACCCAAAGAAGAAGCUCCGGCUAACUUCGUGCCAGCAGCCGCGGUAAUACGAAGGGGGCUAGCGUUGUUCGGAUUUACUGGGCGUAAAGCGCGUGUAGGCGGGCUGGAAAGUUGGGGGUGAAAUCCCGAGGCUCAACCUCGGAACUGCCUCCAAAACUUCCAGCCUGGACUCAAGCAGAGGCAAGUGGAAUUGCGAGUGUAGAGGUGAAAUUCGUAGAUAUUCGCAGGAACACCAGUGGCGAAGGCGACUUGCUGGGCUUGUAGUGACGCUGAGACGCGAAAGCGUGGGGAGCAAACAGGAUUAGAUACCCCAGUAGUCC
rnacentral:rRNA from 1 species